GGCUCAGAACGAACGCUGGCGGCGCGCCUAAUACAUGCAAGUCGAGCGAGAAGACGUAGCAAUACGUUUGUAAAGCGGCGAACGGGUGAGGAAUACAUGGGUAACCUACCCUCGAGUGGGGAAUAACUAGCCGAAAGGUUAGCUAAUACCGCAUACGACUCCUGGUCUGCGGAUCGGGAGAGAAAGCGAUACCGUGGGUAGCGCGCUCUUGGAUGGGCUCAUGUCCUAUCAGCUAGUUGGCGAGGUAACGGCUCACCAAGGCUUCGACGGGUAGCUGGUCUGAGAGGACGAUCAGCCACACUGGCACUGCGACACAGGCCAGACUCCUACGGGAGGCAGCAGUAAGGAAUAUUGCGCAAUGGACGAAAGUCUGACGCAGCGACGCCGCGUGGGGGAUGAAGGUCUUCGGAUUGUAAACCCCUUUCGGGAGGGAAGAUGGAGUGGGUAACCACUUGGACGGUACCUCCAGAAGCAGCCACGGCUAACUUCGUGCCAGCAGCCGCGGUAAUACGAAGGUGGCAAGCGUUGUUCGGAUUCACUGGGCGUACAGGGAGCGUAGGCGGUUGGGUAAGCCCUCCGUGAAAUCUCCGGGCCUAACCCGGAAAGUGCAGAGGGGACUGCUCAGCUAGAGGAUGGGAGAGGAGCGCGGAAUUCCCGGUGUAGCGGUGAAAUGCGUAGAGA
rnacentral:rRNA from 1 species